CUGAAACAAAAUGGGAGAGUGUACCUAACUCAUGCAGGUUCUGUAAGGAUAAUCGAAAGUGUCACAGGAGGAGAGAUAUCCAGCUGCAGUUACAUGAUGGGCUAGCGAAGAUCAAGGAAAUGUUGAUGCUCCAUCAAUACUAACAAGAUGCAGCUGUUGGAGGGGCCUUUUCAGGUGCUUGGCAAGGCAUCAUCUACUGUGCAGUGAGGAAGAAAUGGCUGUGAUAAGAAGAUGGUGUGAGCCUUCGUGCCAUUCCUGGGGAGGUGAACAGAAGGCACGCAAUCGUAUCCUCAGUACGAGUGCUGUGACAUUAGGAGAUAAACGAGUAAUACUUGUUCCGUUCAAUGUUGAAACUCAAAGAACCAGAACAGUGACAGCUAUAUGACUGACAUGGGAG
rnacentral:lncRNA from 1 species